rnacentral:rRNA from 1 species
UACAGAGGUGGCAAGCGUUGUUCGGAAUUACUGGGCGUAAAGGGCGCGUAGGCGGCCCGUCAAGUCCCGUGUGAAAGCCCCCGGCUCAACCGGGGAACGGCGCGGGAAACUAGCAGGCUUGAGUUCGGGAGAGGGAAGCGGAAUUCCGGGUGUAGCGGUGAAAUGCGUAGAUAUCAGGAGGAACACCCAUGGCGAAGGCAGCUCGCUGGCCUGUAACUGACGCUGUAGUGCGAAAGCGUGGGUAGCAAACAGG